rnacentral:misc_RNA from 1 species
GGAAUUCUUUGGAUUGCAACAUGAAUUAUAUGGGGGCCUGGUGCAAGCCUGUUCAAAUCACAGAAGUGUUAACAUUGACCAUAACUGAAAAUUCAACCAAGUCUUUGGCUUUUCUAGGUCUUUAGGCCUAUAUUUGAUUAUGGGUCAAUAUGGUGUUAUUUGCAUGUCAGAAGGGAAAUCUUAUAGUUGUAGCUUUUGUUAAUUUGCUAUACUUUUGUUGGACUAAUGAUUUAUUCUGUUAUCAAUUCCUUGACCAAGUGGAUGGAGAUGCUAAGUAUUAUAACUUGUGUUGUCUAUACCAUGGUUUUAAAUAACGGCCGU